UAAGAUGUGCAUACGUGUCGACUAAUGAGUGGGCGAAAAAAUGAACAAAAGGGAAAAAAAAUGCUUCCGACACGUCUUCGAUUUCAUCUCUUUUUCUCUAUUUCUCGAAUCCUCCGACGACGAAAUCUCUCCAACGCAUCUUGAUCCGUCGAAUUGAGAGGAAAAAUUAGGCGGAAUUUCCGCCGCCGUAACGCCGUUGUUUUCUCCACGAAGCUUGAUUUUUUGAUUUUAGAUAGAUUUUGAAUUAACCUUUUUAGACGUAAUUGGAAAUUUCAUCGCCGCGGAGGAGAUGAGGAGCGUGUUGUUGUGGAUUGCGGUGGUCGUGUGCUUGUUAUGUUCAGUCGCGGCGGUGGUUCAAAGCGGAUUUAGCCAUUGUUUUUUUGAAACGAGAGAUACUGAGACUGCGAUAUCUUUGCUGGAGAAUAAAUUGAUCGGUUCCAAUGGUACCUCUCACCUUGAUUCAGGCAGCUGACUCUAAAGGAGCUGGUUCAGUCUUCGAUGUUGCCAUUGUAUCAAGUAGAUCAAACUCUUGGAAGAAACAUUGUUUUAUAGGAGUUGAAAAAAUGUUGUUAUACUAUACCAGAAAGAUGAAAAAGAUAGAUAGAUGUUCUCAGCUGUUCUUGAAGAUACUUUAUACUGUUUUGAUCUCAAAUCUUAGGCAUAAUUCAUGGUCAGAUGCUUCAUUCUUUUCUUUCCCAUACCAGUGUUGUUUGUGCAUUGCUUUCUUCGAGGGGACAAAACCGAGAGAAUCUGUGAGCGGAAGUUAGACGGUAACAACGUCGGGUUGGUUUGGAAAAGAUGUUGAAUGAAUGGCUCAGAUUUGGUUGAAGUGAUGAAUGUUUAAGUUCUUCCUCUUUCAUUUGCAAAAAAAGCUUGUAUGAGUUUGGUUGUAUGAAUGCUUGUAUUAGAAGAUAUUGUUUUGCAAAAUUUGAAUUUGUUUUAUCUUAAGAACCCAUUGAUUCUUAACCAUUGGAAGGCAAAUUUGUUAAGAUC